GAAGAAGAAUUUGAUGAUUUCCUACAAGAAUAUCUGUCUACAUUUAAGACAGUGGAAGAAAAGCCUGAACUGGAAUAUGAAUGCAAGACUGAAAUGAACACGUCACCCACCAUGACCUUGAGAGAAGAAAAGUAUUCACCAAUGGAAAUUAAAGAUGAAUUUGAUUCAAGAGAGUAUGGUGACUUUGACUCUUUACCUACAAGAGACAUUCAAAGGAUCCAAUCUAACAAGAAAGGGAAUACUGAGGGAAAAAGAAACAAAGAGACACGUCAUGGAAGCCUCCAGCGCAGAAAGACUUCAUACCAGGAAAUACAUCAGCGACAGGACACCGGGGAGAAACAACAUGAAUGCUCCCAGUGUUUCAAAACAUUUGCUAGACGUUGCUAUCUUGUAAUUCAUCAAAGAAUACACACAGGAGAAAAGCCCCCUCAGUGCAGUACAUGUGGGAAGGCCUUCAGUCAAAUGUCUAAUCUCAAGAAACACCAGAAGAUCCAUACUGGGGAAAAGCCCCAUCAGUGCAGUACAUGUAAGAAGGCCUUCAGUCAAUUGUGUAAUCUCAAGAAACACCAGAAGAUCCAUACUAGGGAAAAGCCCCAUCAGUGCAGUACAUGUGGGAAGGCCUUCCGUCAAAUGACAAAUCUCAAGACACACCAGAUGAUUCAUACUGGAAAAAAUCCCCACCAGUGCAGUACAUGUGGGAAGGCCUUUAGUAACAAGUAUACUCUCAAGACACACCAGAGGAUCCAUACUGG